rnacentral:tRNA from 1 species
UCCUGCGUGGCUCGUUGGUAGAGCAUGGUGUUUGCAAUGCCAGGGUUGUGGUUCGAUUCCCACGGGGGAC